rnacentral:rRNA from 1 species
AUUGAACGCUGGCGGCAGGCUUAACACAUGCAAGUCGAGCGAGCGGCGGACGGGUGAGAAAUGUCUGGGACACUGCCCGAUGGAGGGGGAUAACUACUGGAAACGGUAGCAAAUACCGCAAACUAUCAGAUGCGCCCAGAUGGGAUUAGCUAGUAGGUGGGGUAACGGCUCACCUAGGCCACGAUCCCUAGCUGGUGUGAGAGGAUGACCAGCUACACUGGAACUGAGACACGGUCCAGACUCCUACGGGAGGCAGCAGUGGGGAAUAGUGCACAAUGGGCGCAAGCCUGAUGCAGCCAUGCCGCGUGUGUGAAGAAGGCCUUCGGGUUGUAAAGCACUUUCAGCGGGGAGGCGUUACUCGCAGAAGAAGCACCGGCUAACUCCGUGCCAGCAGCCGCGGUAAUAC